GCCGCGUGUGUGAAGAAGGCUUUCGGGUUGUAAAGCACUUUCAGCGAGGAAGAAAGCCUCUGGGUUAAUACCCCAGAGGAAGGACAUCACUCGCAGAAGAAGCACCGGCUAACUCCGUGCCAGCAGCCGCGGUAAUACGGAGGGUGCGAGCGUUAAUCGGAAUUACUGGGCGUAAAGCGCGCGUAGGUGGCUUGGCACGCCGGUUGUGAAAGCCCCGGGCUCAACCUGGGAACGGCAUCCGGAACGGCCAGGCUAGAGUGCAGGAGAGGAAGGUAGAAUUCCCGGUGUAGCGGUGAAAUGCGUAGAGAUCGGGAGGAAUACCAGUGGCGAAGGCGGCCUUCUGGCCUGACACUGACACUGAGGUGCGAAAGCGUGGGUAGCAAACAGGAUUAGAUACCCUGGUAGUCCACGCCGUAAACGAUGUCGACUAGCCGUUGGGACCUUUAAGGACUUAGUGGCGCAGUUAACGCGAUAAGUCGACCGCCUGGGGAGUACGGCCGCAAGGUUAAAACUCAAAUGAAUUGACGGGGGCCCGCACAAGCGGUGGAGCAUGUGGUUUAAUUCGAUGCAACGCGAAGAACCUUACCUACCCUUGACAUCCAGAGAAGUUGGCAGAGAUGCCUUCGUGCCUUCGGGAACUCUGAGACAGGUGCUGCAUGGCUGUCGUCAGCUCGUGUUGUGAAAUG
rnacentral:rRNA from 1 species